GACGAACGCUGGCGGCGUGCUUAACACAUGCAAGUCGAACGGAGCGAAUGAAAGCUUGCUUUUAUGAGCUUAGUGGCAAACGGGUGAGUAACACGUAGGCAACCUGCCGACAGGAUGGGGACAACAUUCCGAAAGGAAUGCUAAUACCGAAUGAAGUCGAGGGAGGGCAUCCUCCUUCGAUGAAAGAUGGCCUCUAUUUAUAAGCUAUCACCUGUCGAUGGGCCUGCGUCUGAUUAGCUAGUUGGUGAGGUAACGGCUCACCAAGGCGACGAUCAGUAGCCGGUCUGAGAGGAUGAACGGCCACAUUGGGACUGAGACACGGCCCAGACUCCUACGGGAGGCAGCAGUGGGGAAUCUUCCGCAAUGGGCGCAAGCCUGACGGAGCAACGCCGCGUGAGUGAAAAAGGUCUUCGGAUCGUAAAGCUCUGUUGAUGGGGACGAAUGUGCGUGAUGCGAAUAG
rnacentral:rRNA from 1 species